AUGAACGCUGGCGGCGUGCCUAAUACAUGCAAGUCGAGCGAACAGACGAGGAGCUUGCUCCUCUGACGUUAGCGGCGGACGGGUGAGUAACACGUGGAUAACCUACCUAUAAGACUGGGAUAACUUCGGGAAACCGGAGCUAAUACCGGAUAAUAUAUUGAACCGCAUGGUUCAAUAGUGAAAGACGGUUUUGCUGUCACUUAUAGAUGGAUCCGCGCCGCAUUAGCUAGUUGGUAAGGUAACGGCUUACCAAGGCGACGAUGCGUAGCCGACCUGAGAGGGUGGUCGGCCACACUGGAACUGAGACACGGUCCAGACUCCUACGGGAGGCAGCAGUAGGGAAUCUUCCGCAAUGGGCGAAAGCCUGACGGAGCAACGCCGCGUGAGUGAUGAAGGUCUUCGGAUCGUAAAGCUCUGUUAUUAGGGAAGAACAAAUGUGUAAGUAACUAUGCACGUCUUGACGGUACCUAAUCAGAAAGCCCCGGCUAACUACGUG
rnacentral:rRNA from 1 species